UUGUGUUUCCGUUCAUCUCUUGCAAUAAUUCAUUGCCAUUAUCAUCAGAGAUAUAAUUUGGUUUUUGGAAAGGCGCUACAUAUUUUGCUGCCAAAGAACUAUUUAGCCAAGAGACUCUUUAUACUCAUUUGGAAAUUAAAAGAGCAGGAAAUCAUAAAACAAGGGAGUAAAAAUUAAAAGCUUUAAAAACAGAAUUAUUCGUAGUUUAUUGUGGAUGUGCCCAUGUAUGUUUCUAAGGCACAGAACAACACCACAGUAGAUAUGGGCACUAAUUUAAAUAUGGUUAAUAUUUUAAAUUAAUCUCUUCGUCUCCACCCUCAGGUAAUUUUCAGCUUUCCUUAAGAAAUCAUAUCACAAAACUAAAAAGAUGACUCAAGUGGUCUAGAAACCUCUUCCUUCAAGUCUGAAUUGAUCUGUAGAAGUCCUUUUCUAUACCUUGGCACAGAUGACAUUGUAUUAAGAAUGCUUAAAAUAAAAAGGGAGUUCCUCCUGUGGUGCAGUGGCUUAAGAAUCUGACUGCAGCAGCUUGGGUUGCUGCAGAAGUGUGGGUUGGUUCCCAGUCUCUUCCAGCACAGUGGGUUAAAGGAUCCAGCGUUGUGGCUCAGANAAAAAAAAAAAAAAAAAAAAAGACUCUUUGGACACGGAAAAGCAUCAAAAAGUUCUGAGGAAAACAAUGAGCCUGAAAGAAGUCCAUAGUUUAUUUUAGACUUUGUCUCUGCCACACAGGGUAACAUUUAAAUAGUCAAUGAAUAACUUGUCCUUAAUUUCUUCAUCAGUAAUGUGGAUGAAAGUGAAUAAAGGCUGAAGUGGUUCAUUAUUUCUGGUUAAUUCCUUUCUUUCUCCUUCUUUUUUUUUUUUUUUUAAUACUUCUUCUUUUUUUUUUUUUUUUUUAAGGGCUGCACUCACCACAUAUGGAAGUUCGAAUCCGAGCAGCAGCUGCCAGCUGAGCAGCAGCUGUCAGCAACCUACACCACAGCUCACAGCAAUGCCAGAUCCUUAACCCACUAAUUGAAGACAGGGAUCAAAACCACAACCUCAUGGAUACUAAUCGGAUUCAUUACUGCUGAGCCAUGAUGGGAAGUCCAUUUUUUUGGUCUUUUUAGGGCCGCAGCUGUGGCAUGUGAAGGUUCCCAGUCUAGGGGUUCAGUCAGAGUUGUCGCGUCCAGCCUACACCACAGCCACAGCAACAUGAGAUCUGAGCUGCAUCUGUGACCUAUACCACAGGUCACGGCAAUGUUGGAUCCUUAACCCACUGAGGAGGCCAGGGAUAGAACCAGCAACCUCAUGGAUACCAGUCGGGUUCAUUAACCACUGAGCCACAAUGGAAACUCCUGGUUAGCUAUUUUCAUCCUCUCAGGAACAAAACUUUUCUUGUAGCGAACCAUAUAGCUACUAAAUAUUUGCAUUUUUUUUUCAAAAAAGUGUUCUGUGUUCUUCUCCCUCCUGAGUAUAUACCACACAGUAGGUCAUUCGCCUGAUUAAACAGCAUGCAGAUCUCACCAACAAUUAUCAGAGAAGUUGCUAAUUCAUGUUGGAUUUAUAACUAAGUUGUUUAGGAUAUAUUUUCUCAGUCAUAAUAAAUUAUGAACUAAACCAACCCCAAAUAAAUCAAUGGAAAAUUGACAGUAUGAGUGUGAAGUGAGCAACAUAUUUGAAUGUCUCAUCUUUGUUCUUUUUGUUGUGCUACCUCUGUUCAUCAGGAAAGAGUCCCAUCUGAGCCAUUACUAAUUCUGUCCUCGAUUUGUAUGCAUUUUAGUUAAUGGCUACCUUAUUAAGACCACUUCCUCCACGGCCAGAGGCUAUCAGCUAUGCCCUCUCAUUAUUGUUACAGUAAGAAUUCUUUUGGACUGAGUGCUGACAGUGAAUGUUUUAUGAACUGAUUGCUGUUGGUUUUCAUUUGAAAGGGCAGAUUUAUUUCUGGAGCAUCUCUUCUGGUCUUUCUGUGGUAUCUUCAAUAACAACAGCAUUUAACAUCAGGAAGUAAAAUGGAUCAUGUAUAUGGAGAGUCUUCAUUGCCUACCUACUUGUGCUGAGAGGGGUAUCUGAGGUUUCAGAGAAAGAUAUGUUGAUAUAUCAUCUUCAUGUGGCCAACAAGGUUGUUACUUCCAGAAGUGGACUUGACUUUACCAGAAUUACGAAGGACGAUAUAAAUCAGGUUCUACCACAGAAAAGUCUCAGCUGUGCUACUUGCUUAGAUGUCCAUACAGGAUACAAAAGAUCACAGCGUUUAAAGAAUUCUUUGGUUGUGUUACCAAUGCUCAGAUGUGAAGGGACCAAAAAGUGACUUCAAUCUCAGCAUCUUCUUUUCCCUCUUCUCUGUGAUGGAAAGUCAUCCUUCCUACAAGGCUGAUUCUAGAAACUGCCAAAAUUUGAAGUCAAAUCUGAGGAUGAAUAUACAACCAAGUUGAGAAUGGAAUCAAUAGAGAGUGAGGUCGUGUAUUCUUUGUAACUGGCAAGUCAGCUCUCAAAGCUGUUUCCAAAGAGUAGAGAGCUAAAUGUGUUUGUGAGCCAAAUUACAACUCAACAAAAGUACUUGUAUAGUGGUCAGGUCUAGGGUCAUUACAUCUAUUCUAUAUGGACAUGGAUAGAGAGAUAAAUGUAUUUUUAAAAAUAUGAGCUUCCAGUACUUUUUUUUAAAAUUUAUUACCGAGACAGGCUGGGACCUGGGUCCUGGAACCUGGGACACUUUGCUACAGUGGCUGCAAUGCUUGCACCUGGAUAAAUGUCUCCUCAAGCAACAAGAUACAAAGAAACUAAAAGGGACUAAAAAUAACUGCAUAUAUGCAGAGUUGGGGCAGAUUAUGGGCAAGAAGAUACCAAAAAACUAAAACCCCAACUACCGCUUUUGAAGAUCCGAGUGUAAAAACGGUUUUGGGAGCAAAAGCAAGGAACUAUGCAUGCACCCUGCAUACAACCCCACCAGAGGGGUGGGCAGACCAUCUAAGCCAACCCUCUGGCUCAAAUCCUGGCCCAUCCCUACCCUCCCCCCAUCUAAGGAACCAGUUUGCGCUCCCCUUGGUAAGCAAGGGAGCAAGGGAAACUUGCUUGUUUUCAUUUCCUCCCCUUGCAGCAAGGGCCCCAGUAAGGCCUUGCCUAAAUUUCUUGUCCUGCCUCUUACCAGUUUUAUUGAUUAAGGAAAGCCAAGAACCCAAGCAGGUAGCAUUACCAUUUUUCCAAAUCUUUUUUUAAUGAUUAUGUUGGUAUUACUUUAAUAAGAGGAACUCUAAUUUCACACUUGAGAAUUCUAAUCAUUUUAGAGCACAGGAGGGGUUGACAAGCAGAUAUAAUAUCAAUGCUCUCUAGCAAGGCUAUUCGGCCAGCAGUUUGAGUUAGAUAAUGCAACUGUAUCAUUUCAUACAAGCUACUGACUUUGACUCUAUGAACUGAAUCCUUAAUCAAAUCUUCAAAACCAGGUAGUAUGCAGGACAUAGUAAAACAAGGCUAAGGAGAAUUGGCAAAGAGAUUUUUUUUUCCAGGAAAAGUGUUUUUUUGAGAAAAGUUACUCUGCUAUUUGAUGGUCCAAAUCUAGUGAGACAUGAAUACGUUGAGAAAUGAUGUUGGGGAGAUUUAAGAUGUGACAAGAGAGUAUGGAAUUUUAUUAACCAAAAAUAACGCUAUGAGUAUUAUUAAGUAUUUGUCCACUCAUUUUAAAACACAUCAUUCUGUCAUUUUCGGCAUAGGGCGGUAGGGCUAGAGGAGGCUAAUAGUGGGUGAAGACCCUCCAUUAAAUGCUUUGUGUCUCUUUUUUACUAUGAACUAAUAUAAUCAGAGCUGAAAAAAAAAUAAAGUUCUCAAAAUUCUAGAUAGCUUGGCAUGCAUGAACUAGUCAAGAAGAAUUUCAUCAGAUGCCAUCUGUUUUUUUAAGGGAUUAUGGAAACAAGUGUGGAAGUGUUGGAUAUUGGGGGAAAACCUUGGGGCCUAGGGAUCUGGACACAAGACCGUCACAGAACCAUGAGUGUGGUUCCUAGUGUCAACACAAAUUAUCUUUGAGGAAACUGGGCCAACUCAAUACUCUGAUGACUCCCUUCUGGAAAAAAUAGGAGUAACAAUGAAAUUAUUUACAGAGAGAUUUUAGAAAAGGCUGAACUUAGUCAAAGCAAGUCAUUUACCUCUCAAAAUUUCUUCCAAAAUCUAAGCCUAAUUCCUAUAAAUGUCUAUCUCAUUGUGUUAAAAUCCAUCUUAUACUUAGAUGGUUCAUACUCCUACAUACUAAUGGAAUUGAUCUGAUUCCAAAGCAAUGUCUUAUGUAGCUACAUUAGAAACUCAAUUUUGUCCUGAUAAAAACUUGAUGGAUUGUUUUAAGAAAUUUUUGCCAGGAGUUCCUAUUAUGUCUCAGUGACUUAUGAACCUGACUAGAAUCCAUGAGGAUGCGGGUUGGAUCCCUGGCCUCGCUCAGUGAGUGGGUUAAGGAUCCAGCAUUGCCAUGCCCUGUGGAGUAGGUUGGAGAUGCGGCUCGGAUCCCUUGUUGCUGUUGCUGUGGUGUAGGUCGGCUGUGGUGUAGGUCGGCAGCUGCAGCUCUGAUUCGACCCCUAGCCUGGGAACUUCCAUAUGGUGCAGGUAUGGCCCUAAAAAAGAGAAAAAGAAAAAAAAGAAAAAAAA
rnacentral:lncRNA from 1 species